rnacentral:vault_RNA from 1 species
UUGCUGGCUAUGUCGUGUGGAUACUUCGAUCAUUAAGCCAAUGGUAAGCUAUCUUUUUUGGGCAAAGACUAUCCAGGUUCAAUUCCUGGGUGAUCACCUCUCUUGUCCACUGACGCAAUCCAGCAUUUUU